GUGAGGAAUUUUCCGCAAUGGGCGAAAGCCUGACGGAGCAAUGCCGCGUGAAGGAUGAAGGCCUAUGGGUUGUAAACUUCUUUUCUCAGAAAAGAAUUAUGACGGUAUCUGAGGAAUAAGCAUCGGCUAACUCUGUGCCAGCAGCCGCGGUAAGACAGAGGAUGCAAGCGUUAUCCGGAAUGAUUGGGCGUAAAGCGUCUGUAGGUUGUUUAAAAAGUAUUCUGUCAAAGAUUAGGGCUUAACCCUAGAUAGGCAGAAUAAACUUUUAAGCUAGAGUUUGGUAGAGGCAGAGGGAAUUCCCGGUGGAGCGGUGAAAUGCGUCGAUAUCGGGAGGAACACCAAAGGCGAAGGCACUCUGCUGGGCCAAUACUAACACUGAGAGACGAAAGCGAGGGGAGCAAAUGGGAUUAGAUACCCCAGUAGUCC
rnacentral:rRNA from 1 species